rnacentral:rRNA from 1 species
GGGGUAUAGUAGCAAUACUAGAGACCGGCGCACGGGUGCGUAACGCGUAUGCAAUUUACCUUAUACAGAGGGAUAGCCCAGAGAAAUUUGGAUUAAUACCUCAUAGCAUAGCAACUUCGCAUGAAGUCACUAUUAAAGUUCCAACGGUAUAAGAUGAGCAUGCGUCCUAUUAGCUAGAUGGUAAGGUAACGGCUUACCAUGGCUACGAUAGGUAGGGGUCCUGAGAGGGAGAUCCCCCACACUGGUACUGAGACACGGACCAGACUCCUACGGGAGGCAGCAGUGAGGAAUAUUGGACAAUGGGCGCAAGCCUGAUCCAGCCAUGCCGCGUGCAGGAAGACGCAUCUAUGGUGUGUAAACUGCUUUUGUACGGGAAGAAACACUCCCUCGUGAGGGAGCUUGACGGUACCGUAAGAAUAAGGAUCGGCUAACUCCGUGCCAGCAGCCGCGGUAAUACGGAGGAUCCAAGCGUUAUCCGGAAUCAUUGGGUUUAAAGGGUCCGUAGGCGGUUUGGUAAGUCAGUGGUGAAAGCCCAUCGCUUAACGAUGGAACGGCCAUUGAUACUGCCAGACUUGAAUUACUGGGAAGUAACUAGAAUAUGUAGUGUAGCGGUGAAAUGCUUAGAUAUUAC